AGCAGCCGCGGUAAUUCCAGCUCCAAUAGCGUAUAUUAAAGUUGUUGCAGUUAAAAAGCUCGUAGUUGAAUUCCGGGAUCAGCAGGUUGUUCUUGCCACUGGUAUGUACUAGCUUGCUGAUUCCUCCUUCUUGUAGAACCGUAAUGCCAUUAAUUUGGUGUUGCGGGGAAACAGGACUGUUACUUUGAAAAAAUUAGAGUGUUUAAAGCAGGCUAGCGCCUGAAUACAUUAGCAUGGAAUAAUGAAAUAGGACGUUCGAACCUAUUUUGUUGGUUUCUAGGAUUGACGUAAUGAUUAAUAGGGAUAGUUGGGGGCAUUAGUAUUCAAUUGUCAGAGGUGAAAUUCUUGGAUUUAUUGAAGACUGACUACUGCGAAAGCAUUUGCCAAGGAUGUUUUCAUUAAUCAAGAACGAAAGUUAGGGGAUCGAAGACGAUCAGAUACCGUCGUAGUCUUAACCAUAAACUAUGCCGACUAGGGAUCGGAUGAUGUUAAUUUUUUAAUGACUCA
rnacentral:rRNA from 1 species